UAACAGGCAAGCUUACCGUACCCUGCUGGUGACAGCUCCAGAACUCGGACAGUACAUCUCUGGUGCUAUUCUUUUCGAGGAGACACUCUACCAGUCAACCGUUGAUGGCCGCAAAAUAGUUGAUGUUCUUGUUGAACAAAACAUUGUUCCUGGUAUCAAAGUUGACAAGGUAUAUUAACCUGCACCCACAACUUGAAAAAGAACAAUAAUAAAUAGUUAAUGAUGCAGGCAAAAAAAUAUAGUGAACUUUUAGUAACUUUUAUAUUGUAUAAUAUUUGUCUGAGCUGGACUUAUUUGGAACGACAUGGGCAUUUGAGGAUUUAUAUAGCCGACCCCAACCUGCUUGGGAUUGAGGUGGAAUUGUAGUUGUAGUAACAAAAAAUAGAGGAAAUGCAAGGUUAUAUAUGUUUAACAAGAUCAUGUUAUAGGAUGUUCAAACUUAAGUUUGAUCUUAAAGAAACUGUAACUUGUUCAAUUUAGAGUUGUUUAUCUGGUGAAGCUAGCUCAGACAAGAUUAAUCAUCCUAGUACUUCUUAGACUGAAAUGAGACCUCUUUCAGUCUCUUAAUCAUUAUUUUCUGUUCACAGGGUUUGGUUCCCCUUGCUGGUUCAAAUGAUGAGUCAUGGUGUCAAGGUCUUGACGGCCUUGCCUCCCGCUCUGCUGCAUACUACCAACAAGGAGCACGUUUCGCCAAAUGGUACAUUUGAAGUCCUAAUUCUCAUUGUUAUUUUCCCAUUAUAGGCACAAUGAAAGAAGAAAAAAUUCAUAUGGGCAAUACCAGUUAAUUUGGAAUAUACUUGUCAUGCUGUGUUACAUUUACUUGAAGUCCUUCAAAUGGUGUUUUAGUCAUUUUAGAAGCUUACAUGGGGCUGAAGCAUACUAAUUGUUGUUGUGUCUAAGAUGACAUGCUAAAUUAUGGUACCUUGCAGGCGUACCGUGGUGAGCAUUCCCAACGGACCAUCUGCAUUAGCUGUGAAGGAAGCAGCAUGGGGCUUGGCUCGCUACGCUGCUAUUUCUCAGGACAAUGGUUUGGUCCCAAUUGUGGAGCCAGAGAUCUUGUUGGACGGUGAACACGGCAUUGACAGGACUUUUGAGGUAGCACAGAAGGUUUGGGCUGAGGUCUUCUUCUACUUGGCUGAGAACAAUGUCAUGUUCGAGGGUAUCCUCUUGAAACCAAGCAUGGUUACUCCUGGUGCUGAAUGCAAAGACAAGGCCACUCCUCAGCAGGUCGCGGACUAUACUCUCAGUCUCCUUAAGAGGAGGAUUCCCCCAGCUGUCCCCGGAAUCAUGGCAAGUCUCUCUCCGUUUCAUUUUACAAUGCAGUGUUUGAUUGUUAGUCUAUUGCUAGUGGUAGAUGAGUAAGUAGAGAAAUUACAUAACUUAUGCUAAUUGAUUCAAUAUUGUCGGAUUGUGAGCAGUUCUUGUCUGGUGGACAAUCAGAAGUUGAGGCUACCUUGAACUUGAAUGCCAUGAACCAAGCACCAAACCCGUGGCACGUAUCGUUCUCUUACGCUAGGGCUCUUCAGAACACUUGCUUGAAGACAUGGGGAGGAAAACCUGAGAAUGUGAAGGCUGCUCAGGAUGCUUUACUUACCAGGGCCAAAGCCAACUCACUUGCUCAGCUCGGAAAGUACACCGGCGAGGGUGAAUCGGAUGAAGCUAAACAAAAAAUGUUUGUAAAGGGUUAUACCUACUAAGUUAAUGGCA
rnacentral:lncRNA from 1 species